AGCGACGGUUGCAAUAUGGAGGCUCGGCGCCUGGUCUCACAUGGUGGAUAGAGUUGGCUUCGGCGCCAUUGAACCUUUAGCACCAUUUGAAAUCAGUGCUUCUGGCUCUCCUCCGCCUUCCUCCUCUCU
rnacentral:pre_miRNA from 8 species